rnacentral:rRNA from 1 species
GGUUUUUUGAAUUUAGAUAAAAAAUCAGGCCUGCCCACUGAUGAAGGGCUGCAGUAUUUUGACUGUACAAAGGUAGCAUAAUCAUUAGUCUUUUAAUUGGGGACUGGUAUGAAAGGUUAGACGGGGAUAAGCUGUCUCAAUUAUAAAAAUGAAUUUUAUUUUUAAGGAAAAGAGCUUAAAUCUUUCAAGGGGACGAGAAGACCCUAUUAAAUUUGAUAUAAUAAAUUAUUUUUAAUUAUAUAAAAGAAGUAAGUAUAUAUUAAUUUUGCUGGGGCGGCGUGUUUAUAACAGUAUUAUAUUUUAAUUAAGUAAAUAGCGGGUUUUUGAUCCAAAGAGGUUGAUAUUAGAUAAAAUUACUAUAGGGAUAACAGCGUGAUAUUUUUUGAGAGUUCUUAUUGACAAGAAUGUUUGCGACCUCGAUGUUGGAUUAAGAAGUCUUAUUGGUGCAGUAGUUUUUGAAGAAGGUCUGUUCGACCUUUAAAUUCUU